rnacentral:lncRNA from 1 species
UUUUAUUCUCUUGAUGGACAUAGUGGUUAAGUGGGGGAGGAGGCAAAGUUUCCAGUUUACAUAUGAGGGAAUCAAAAUGCCAGUAGCAGGUCUUCCAACUGUGAGUGACUCUCUGAGGACAUGAUUGGCUGAAGGAACUUCUUGGUGUACUGGGAUGAACUGGAAGAAGAAGUCAGGGGAGGCUGGACUGAACGAGGCUGGACAAUGAACACUGUAAUGAAGCAUGUAUUAUCUUCAGGGCAAAGGAAUCACCCCAGGUGUCUAAAUGUUGUGGGAGUUAGAUCUCAACUCACCUUGUGAUCUGAGAAGAGGACUGAUUGAACCCUUGUCUGCAAAAGAGAAAACUAAGAUUGGUGACAUCUUAGGUGAGUGGUCU